rnacentral:lncRNA from 1 species
GAGGAAGGAACGCGCCUGGCGUCACUGAGGGUGUCACCCGGGACCGCGGCUCAGCUGAUGGAAUUUGAGAAAUGGCAGGUGUGAGGACUCUGACCUUCCCAUGAAGCAGGUCAUAAGACCCUCAUGUGAGAGAUGCCCUCUCUAUACCUGGAGAAAAGAAGCAGUCUUAUUUGUGAAGACAGAGAGACGCCAAGAGGAAUCUAAAUGAAUAGGCCUUGGAACCCCAGACGCACGGGCCUUGUGCUGUCGCUGCCGUGGCACCCCUUCUAGAAGGACUCUAUUCUCUAUAACAGAAGUGGGAGCCUUGGACAACUGAACGCCUAUCUCUAGCUCAAGAAAUGUCAGCUCUUUUUUUUUUUUUGAGACUGUCACCCAGUCGGGAGUACAGUGGCGCCAUCUUGGCUCUCUGUAACCUCCACCUCCUGGGUUCAAGCGAUUCUCCUGCCUCAGCCUCCUGAGUAGCUGGGGCUACAGGUAUGCACCAUCACUCCUGGCUAAUUGUUGUAUUUUUAGUAGAUAAUGGGGUUUCACCAUGUUGGCCAGGGUGGUCUCAAACUCCUGACCUCAGGUGAUCUGCCUGCCUCGGCCUCCCAAAGUGCUGGGAUUACAGACGUGAGCCACCAUGCCCAGCCAAGAAAUGUCAAUUCUUUAUCGUAGCCUGGCUUUCCAUAUUUCUCACUAGGGUUUUUAUUCUCUAGUUUGUAAAUCACAUUUGGCGUUUGUAGAUCACUCCUUCCCUUUUAGUGGCAUUCUCUAUUAGGUGUCCAUCUCCCAAUAUGAAGAAACAGUUUUCUGCUUUUUCCUCCUUUAUCUGAUCCAUUUACAGAUUUAUUACAUUUAUAAUAGGCUAGGUAUUGGGGAUACAAAAAUGAAUAAGAUAUGGUCUGUUUUCAAAGGUAUGCAGAAACUUUUCUAUAUAUUCCUACUGACUUGUAUUUGUAUUUCUUGAAUUAAAAACAAUCCUGGCUGUGUUUUUUUUUUUUUUUUUUUGCUCUUAGUGAAUCUUUGUUUCUUCUUUUCAUUAUGGCAUUCCAGUUGAGUUUCACCACGCAUUAUCAUGAGAAUAAAUAAUUUCACUGACUUUAAUAAUAUUUGAUCACUUAUGUUGAUGUCAUUUAACUCUCAUUUACAUUUCAGUGGUCUAAAACACAACUAAGAUACUAAAAGAAAAAUAAAAGAUGAGAUUAUUGGCAAAUAAUUACCACAUAGUCAACUCAUGAACAAUAGUGCAUGCACUUACAGGAAAUUCUCUGAUUGUCACAUAAACUAUUUGGCUGUUGUUUCAGACAUGCUGUAAUUUCUGUAGUUAGACACUUAACUAGUCCACAGCAGAUUAGAAACUAUGAAUCACAAGGCAAGGGAAGGAAAUGCUGUUAAUAUAGGUAGUUUGAGAGGAGCAAUCUCUAUUAGUUGGCAGAAUAAGCACAGGAAAAACAAGACAAUUAGAAAAAUGAAUUAAAAAUGCACGGUAUUCUGACACAAUUAGUUACAUUGAACAACCCUAUGUAUUCCACUGGAAAUAUGAUAAACAUAGUCCACAAGUCUCUGCCAUCUGAGAAAUUUAUAACCUAGUAUUCUGAAGGAAAUAAAGUGAAGGGAACUGUCACAUACCGAACACCUGCUUUAUAACUUGAAAGCGCUUUAUGACAUCACCAUAUAUCAGGACCAAAACAGAUAUUCAUAGAUUUGGUCCUCAAUUGCAAAGAAAAAUUAAAUUAUGUUCUGUACUCUGUUUCAGAAGACCAGAGGAAUACAGAACCCAUUUUGGAACUUUAGAAACUCUUACAUAUGAACAGGUUAGGUUCCAAAAUUUCCAUUGUUCGUAAGUCCCAAUACUCACAAGUUCGGAGUAAGCCACAUAUGCAUUUCCAGAAAACAGAAAAGUGAGGCAGUCCUUUGAAACUUUAGAACAAAGCUUACUCUUCUUUUUACUGAUAUAAGUUGUAUAGUGGUGCAACCCAGACUAAGGCGCAUAUGAAUCUCUUGAUGAUCACGUUAAAAUGAAGAUGCUUAUUGGGUAGGGUUAGAAUGACCUGAGAAUCUGCAUUUCUAGCAAGCUCCCAGGUGAUGCUGAUGCUGAUGCUGCUGAUCCAUGGACCACACUUUGAGUAGCAAGGUUCCAAAGGGCAUUUUUUGUUGGAUUUACAUUUGAAGUCCCUUAAGGAAGGAAAUGCCCCUCCUUAAUGAGCCUAAAGGAACUUCUUAGCAGCUGGCGUAUAUUCACACCUGCUACCACUCAUGUUGAUGUUGUACAGAUUAAAAUGUGCCUAGCGCUCUUGCUUUCCAUAACUUUACUUUCUUAGGCCUUUAAGAUACUUGAACCAUCUCCUAAUGGGUUAAUGGGUGCCCAGAGUUGACACUGAUCCUCUCAUCACAUGGUCAACAGUGUGUACAUUUUGUCAAUUACUUUUCUUCUUACUGAUUAUUGUUAUAUAAAAAUGGUGAAUUAGUCUGCUUUGGCCACCAUAACAAAAUACCUUAAACGAGGUGGCUUAAACAACAGAAAUGUGUUUUCCCACAAUUCUGGAAGCUGGAAGUCUGAGAUGAGAGUGCCAGCAUGAUCAGGUUCUGGUAAAGGUUCUCCUCCUGGCUUGUAGAUGGCCACCUUCUCACUGGUCCAUACAUGGCAGGCAGAGAUGGGGAGAGAGAAAGUUGUCUGGUGUCUCGGUAUAAGGGCACCAGUUCUAUUGGACAAGGCUCUGCCUUUACGACUGCAUUUAACCUUAAUCACCUCCUUAAAGGCCCUCUCUUCAAUAUAGUUACAUGUGGGGUUAGGGCUUCAACAUAUGGAUUUUGGAGGUACAGAAUUCAGUCCAUAGCAAAUGGCAUUUUCAUAUGGCAUGAGUCACUCUUUGCUUUUCAGAAUUGUUCCCAAUUUCAACUGGGUCAUACCACUUUAUUGUAUAUUUAUUACUAUGAAUUUUCAUUUUUCAAUCUCUGCUUUUUUAAUCUUCACAUCACUCUUACUACCACCUUCAAAAUUCUCACUGCUUUCUCACUGACAUCAAUGUUGGGAUUAAUAUUUAUAAAGCACAUUUUAAAACAUAAACUCAUAAUAGGCCCCAAAUUAAUAAAAAGAUGACCUACAUCAGGGCACCACUACACCAGGGCACACUGAAUGAGUGCAAUUCAUUAAAAGAUGUAUUAAGAUAUUAAUCCUCUUCAGACAUUGGGACAACUAGGGGGUACUCAAGUGAUCCUCAGGCUAGUCUCCUUUGGCUGCAAGCAUCCUUGUCUUUUACCCAACAAAAAUAUCCUUAUUUUCUAGCUAUGUUAUAACAUGAAGAGGCUGGGAAGCACUGCCCUAGACUAAAAUUACUAAAUUACUGUGCACAAUCUUCAGUGCCAUCUGCUGGAAGGAGACAAAGUUACUAUACUAUGGUUCUAGAAGGUAGAUUUAUGUAUUCGUUCAUUCAUUUGAGACAGGGUCUCACUCUGUUGCCCAGGCUAGAAUGCAGUGGUGCAAUUACAGCUCACUGCAGCCUUGACCUCCUAGGCUCAAGUGACCCUCCUGCAUUAGCCUCCCAAGCAGCUGGGAUUACAGGAGUGCACCACCACACCGGGCUAAUUUUUUAAAAUUUUUAGUAGAGGUGAAGUCUUGCUGUGUUGCCCAGGUUGGUCUCUCAAGUAAUCCUCCAGCCUUGGCCUCCCAAAGUGCUGGGAUUACAGGUGUGAGCCACCAUGCCCAGCCUAGAUUUAUUUUUAUGUAUAAAACUAAGUUAAAAGAUCAUACGAAGGGGUAUUUCUGUGUUACAAAGGAUUGGUUUUAAAACUUUUUUUACUAGUUGAAAGGAUAAACUUCAAUUACCUGAAAAAUGUAAAACACAACUGUUUCUUUAAAAGAGAAAAAGCUAGACAAAAAAUGUUGUUGGGGCAGACACAGUGGCUCACACCUGUAAUCCCAACAGUUUUGGAGGCCAAGGUGGGAGGAUCACUUAAGCCCAGGAAUUUGAGACCAACCUGGGCAACAGAGUGAGACCUUGUCUGUACAAAAAGUUAAAAAAUUAGCCAGGUGUGGUGGCGUGUGCCUGUGGUCCUAGCUACUCAGGAGGCUGAGGCAGGAGGACCACUUGGGCCUAGGAGGUCAAGCCUGCAGUGAGCCAUAAUUGUGCCACUUACACACUCCAGCCUGGGCAGCAGAGUGAGACUCUGUCUCAAAAAUAAAUAAAUAAAUAAAUAAAAUUGUUGAACAUACUAAUUCAGUUAGAAAGGACACACUUUUAAAAAAGAAUAUUGAUAAGUCAGAGCACCACUAUGAUGGCAGGGUGUUUACAAAGCUUGUGGUACACCAUAUACAAAAAUCAACUCAAAAUGGACUAAAGACUUAAAAACCUGAAACUAUAAAACUAAUAGGAGAAAACAUAGGGAGAGAUCGUGCCACUGCACUCUAGCACAGCGACAGAGUGAGAGUCUGUCUCAAAAAAAUGAAAAAAUUAAAAGAUUUUUCCGUAUAACAACUUUCUUCUUCACUAACGAAAAGUAGAAAUCUAGUAUAGUCCUGUAGACAGUUUCUAUGUAAUAGAUUAAAACAAGUUAAAACAGGAAUUUCUCCCAUAAGAUUCUCUCCUUCUAAAUACAACAGAGUAGAAGGGGCAGGUGUGGUGGCUCAUGCCUAUAAUCCCAGGACUUUGGGAGGCCAAAGCAGGAGGAUCGUUUGAGACGGGAGUUUGAGAUCAGCCUGGGUGCAUAGAGAUACCCUAUCUCUACAAAAUAAUUAGAAAUUAGCCCGGCAUGGUGACACAGCCUUGUAGUCCUAGCUGCUCAGGAAGCUGAGGUGGGAGGAUUGCUUGAGCCCAGGUGGUUGAGGCUGCAAUGAGUCAGAUAUAUAUAUCUGGCUUUAUAUAUACACCUUUGUUUUAUAUGUAUAUUAUAUACUUUAUUAUAUAUACAUAAAACAAAGUAGAGAAUGUUAGUCCCCGGAAUUUCUCUGUAAGAAAAUGUCUCAUGCAAAAAUCAUUCAGGAGGAGAAAAAUAUACUUUGUAGGGGAUGCUACAUGCUUCUUGCCAAGAAGAGAGAGAGAAAUGGGAGGCCAUUAGCUGUCUUCUAUGUAUGGUUGGUGGGCAGGGGUACAAGAGAAGCUUCUCACUUUUACACCAUGUGGGAAGAAGGUAGUGAACAGGGUAGAAAGAAAACUGUGAGAUAACAACAUGGAAGGAUUGGGAGAUUGAAAGAGGAGGAGAAUUUUAGCAGCCGUCAUAAGUAGGGAACUUUGGAGGGAGGAGAGAUAUAGAGAAGUAUUGUUGGAAGCUUUACUUUCUAUUUUUCUGGGAGAGACCCCUGUGUUACACCUUUACGGAAACUCAUAAUAAAAAUCUCGAUCGUUUAUCAACAUUAGUCUCAUUAUUUUUGAACGAGAAUCCCCACAGAAAUGAUAUCACAUGACACUUGAGUUGUAAAUUGUACAAACUGCAUUCAGAAGCCAUCACCAAGGCCUAGCUGUUCUUUUUCCUGAAUCUAGACCAUUUAUGUCAUAUGAGUAUCUACUUUCCAAAACUGAAAGCUCCUCACUUGGUCUUCCACAGAACUCCAGUGGAGCUCUAAAUUGUAUAGCUGAAAAUGGGGCAUAUAAUUCAUACACUUUCACCAUAAUUCAGGGCAGGGAGGGAAUGUCACUGGUUAUGGUAUCUGUUAGUUUUCCCUGUUAACUGACAUUUGGAAAAUAUGUGCUCUGAGACACUCACACUUUGGGUUUAGAUAACGUUUCUUCUCUCGGUGUCUGUGUUUCAUGUUGUUGUUGUAAUUGGCCAAUAGCGCUGUAGUUGCUGCCAAUAUAUAAGUUUGUUGCAGAUACAAAAUAUGGACAUUUUGAUAGUUAAUGUGCACACACACAUAAUACACAAUAGGCAUAGUCAUAAUUUUGUUACAUGAUCAUUUGGCACAAAUGAUGAAACUGUGCACAAGUUACUAUAAUUAAUGCCCUAUACUUUCUUUUUCUUUCUUCUUUUUUUUUUUUUGAAACAGAGCUUUGCUUUUGUAGCCCAGGCUGGAGUGCAAUGGCUCAAUCUCAGCUCACUGCAACCUCCGUCUCCUAGGUUCAAGUGAUUCUCCUGCCUCAGCCUCCGAAGUAGCUGGGAUUACAAGCAUGCACCAUGCCCCGCUAAUUUUGUAUUUUUAGUAGUGUAGGGUCCAGCCCUACAGGGCCUGUGGGUUUUUCCUUAGUGUGCAGAGAUGAGAGAUUGUAGAAAAAUAGACAUGAGACAAAGAAAUAGAAGGAAACACAGCUGGGCCCAGGGGACCACUACCACCAAUGCGCGAAGCCUGGUAGUGACCCUGAAUGCCUGGACACACUGCUAUUUAUUGUAUGCAAGGCAAGGGGGCAGGGUAAGGAGUUUGAGUCAUCUCAAAUGAUUAAUAAGGUCAAGCAAGUCACGUGUCCACGUGACGGGGGGCCUUUCCCUUUGUGAUAGCUGAAGCAGAGAGGGAGGACAGUAUAUGUCAGCAUUUCUUCUGUGCACUUAUCAGGAAGAUCAAAGACUUUAGUACUUUCACUAAUUUUGUUACUGCUAUCUUUUAAGAACUUAAAAGGAGGUGCCAGGUGUACAGGCAGAACAUGAAAGUGGACAAGGAGCAUGACCACUGAAGCACAGCACCACAGAUGUUUAAGCCUCCAGAUGACUGCGGGCAGGCCUGGCUAAUGUCAGGACUCCCACAAGAGUUGGUGGAGCAGUGUUCUCUAACUCCCCCCGGGGAAAGGGAGACUCGCUUUCCCGGUCUGCUAAGUAACGGGUGCCUUCCCAGGCACUGGCGCUACCGCUAGACCAAGGUCUGCCGAGUAACGGGUGCCUUCCCAGGCACUGGCCCUACCGCUAGACCAAGGUCUGCCAAGUAAUGGGUGCUUUCCCAGGCACUGACCUUACCGCUAGACCAAGGAACCCUCAAGCGGCCCUUAUCCGGGCGUGACAGAGGGCUCACACUCUUGUCCUUUGGUUACUUCUCACCAUGUCCCUUCAGCUCCUGACUCUGUAUGGCCUGGUGUUUUCUAGGUUAUGAUUAUAAAACAGAGAUUAUUAUAAUACUAAAAGAGCAACACUACCAACUAAAGAUUGAUAAUAUUCAUAUAUAAUCAUGUCUAUAUCUUAUUUUUAGUAUAACUUUUUGUAUUCUAAUUAUUUUCUUUUAUUAUACUGGAACAGCUUGUGCCUUCAGUCUCUUGCCUCAGCACCUGGGUGGCUUUCCGCCCACAAGUAGAGAUGGGGUUUCUGCAUGUUGGUCAGGCUGGUCUCGAACUCCCGACCUCAGGUGAUCCACCUGCCUCGGCCUCCCAAAGUGCUGAGAUUAUAGGCAUGAGCCACCGUGCCCAGCCUGCUUACUUUCAAAAUAAGGUAAAAGUCUGAGGAAAAAAUAAUAGUUCCCAUUUCUGGAGCAUUUAGGCUGUGCCAGGCAUUGUUCUAUGUAUGUUCAUGUAUUAUUUCCUCAAAAAAGUACACACUUUAAUUCUGCAGAUGAGAAAUCUGAAACUCAAAGAGAUUGAGAAUCUUCUCCACACACAUGAUUAUCCCAAUAAUCUGGUGAGUUGAAUGAGAAAUAGAAGUCAAAGAGGAAGAAGGCAGGGUUGCCUGAAAGAUUCCAGAAUCUGGAUAUAAAGGUGCAUUCUCCAGCAGCUGCUGAUGGCCACUAACAGGAUUUUCUCUUAUAUAUCUUAGUUGGGCAUGAAGGGUAUGAGAGAUUUCAAGCAUACUGAGGAAUGACACUUUCAAUUGCUUCCCCAGCCAAGUAGCUUCAAUGGACAGAUUACCCAGAAUUUAAAACAAGAAAAAAUAUAAUCUAAUUAGAUCACUUAUAUUACUUUGUCAUUGCCAUAUCUUUCUAACAAUUUAAAAAAAAAUGGACUUUUAAAAAAAGCCCCGUAUCUGAGGCUCUAAAAUCCAACAGUCCUCUUCGUUUUAAUGCUUAAUUUUGUUUUUGUUUUUGUUUUGAGAUGGAGUCUCGCUCUGUCACCAGGCUGGAGUGCAAUGGCGCAAUCUCAGCUCACUGCAACCUCCGCCUCCCCGGUUCAAGCAAUUCUCCUGCCUCAGCCUCCCGAAAUGAUUAGUUUUACAAACAGACCAGAAGCGGGGCGCAGUGGCUCACGCCUGUAAUCCCAGCACUUUAGGAGGCCGAGGUGGGCGGAUCACAAGGUCAGGAGUCUGAGACCAACCUGGCCAAUAUGAUGAAACCCCGUCUCUACUAAAAAUACAAAAAUUAGCCCGUAGUGGUGGCCUGCGCCUGUAGUCCCAGGGCUUGGGAGGCUGAGGCAGGAGAAUCGCUUGAACCCGGGAAGCGGAAGUUGCAGUGAGCCAGGAUCGCGCUGCUGCACUCCAGCCUGGGCGACAGAGCGAAACUCCGUCUUAAACAAACGAACAAACAAAAAACAAAAACAAACAAACAAAAACCCAAAACAAAAAAACCAGACCAGAAAGCCCCAACCCGCUUUUCCAUCUGGACGCUCUUCCUACGUAGUCUACAAUGUCGGUGGGCUUCCACCGCCAUCUGGUGGACGAUGUGUAGAUGUGCUCUGACUUGAGGAGACUUCGCUGGCGUGGAGAGGAAUGUGAUUAAUGAGAAGAGUUUUCCAUUCAUGCAAUUGAUUUGAAAGCAAUGCAUAGGAAUCUAAAAACUGAAUAGAUAAAAGUGCUUACUUCUAGGCAAUCAAAAAGGGGAACAAUUUGUAUGUGUUGACUUAUUGACUAGGAUGAGAUGGAACCAAAUAAAUUAACAUUUUCUUUAAUGCUGCUAGAAUCCUUCAACUUCGCACUACAUAGCAUGCAACACUUUUUGAACAGUCCCAGCACCAUGAAUCUGCUUAAGUAAAGCUGUUUAUGCAGUCGUCUCAUCUGAGAGUACAGGAAACUCUGUAUCUACAUCCAUUUCUGUUUAUCUUUAUAGUCCCCUUGUCCCACACCUAAAAUUUCAACAUUAAGAAUCUACUUUCUCACUGGGGCCUGUCAGGGGGAGUGGGGGAAGGGAGAGCACCAGGAAAAAUAGUUAAUGCAUGCUGGACUUAGUACCUAGAUGAUGGGUUGAUAGAUGCAGCAAACCACCAUGGCACAUGUUUACCUAUGUAAAAAACCUGCACAUCCCAUACAUGUACCCUGGAACUUAAAAUCAUAAAAUAAAAUAAAAAGAAUCUACUUUCUGAGCUGGGCGCGGUGGCUCACAUCUGUAAUCCCACCACUUUAGGAGGCUAAGCUGGGAGGAUCACUUGAUCUUAGUUGUCCAAGACCAGCCUGGGCAACAGAAUAAGAUCCUGUCUUUAUUACAAAAAGAAUCUACUCUGUUCUGAUAACACUGUACUAUUUCUUUUUAUUUUAAAAUUCAGGUAAAGUUUUGUCUGCAUUUUAACCUUAAAGUGUUAGGGUGGGGACGUGGUGGGGGAAAGUGUGUGGCAGAGAAUAAGCAUUGGUACUGCGGCUACCAUAUUGUUCUAGCAUUUCACCAUUGGCACAUGACUGCCUUGCACAUGGUGAUUAGAUUGGACCAUGGGACCAGUUCUGGUCAGUGAGUUAUGCUUUAAUAUUUUAAAAAUCCAUAGAUUCUAGGCAAAUAGUUAUCAUAUGACAAUAAGGCAGAGUAGAUCUCAUAAUAUUCAGUGAUUUGGGGGGUUAAUUUCCUUUGUCACUUCUUAGUUUGUAAAACAAAUGAGACAUUAAGUAUAUACCAUGCUUAAUGUCAUCUUCUCCUAUCAUAAAUAUAGGACAAAUGGUAUGAAUUGUGAUACAAUAUAAUGAAAUUAAUUUUUUUCAUACUUCUCAGCACAUAGCCACAUAAAUAAAUGCUGCCUUUCAAAGCAAUCAGCUUGGGUAAUGAUACGUUUAUUUUAGCAAUGUGCAUGAUAUGGUUUGGCUCAAUGGUUUGGCUCAAUGUUCCCACGCAAAUCUCAUUUGAAUUGUAAUCCCCAGUGUUGGGGAGGGACCUGGUGGGAGGUGGUUGGAUCAUGGGGGCACAUUUCUACCUUGCUGUUCUCAUAAUAGUGAGUGAGUUCUCAUGAGAUCUGGUUGUUUGAAAAUGUGUAGCACUUCCCCCUUCACUCUCUGUCUCUCCUGCUCUGCCAUGUGAAGAUGUGCCUCCUUCCCCUUCACCUUGCAUCAUAAUUGUAAGUUUCCUGAGUCCACCUCAGAAGCAGACACCAGUACAGCCCACAGAACCAUGAGCCAAUUAAACUUCUUUUCUUUAUAAAUACCGAGUCUCAGGUUAGUCUUUAUAGCAGUGUGAGAAUGGACUAGUACAGUGCUAGUACUCGAAAUAAACUGAAAAUCGUAAGCUUCAAUAUUUUCUUAGUUCUGCUGCUCAUGCCUGUAAUCCCAGCACUUUGAGAAACCAAGGCUGAUGGAUCACCUGAGGUCAGGAGUUCGAAACCAGUCUGGCCAACAUGGCAAAACCCGGUCGCUACUCAAAAUAACAAAAAUUAGCUGGGUGUGGUGGUGGACACCUGUAAUCCCAGCUACGCGAGAGGCUGAGGCAGGGAGAACUGCUUGAACCCAGGAGGCAGAGGUUGCAGUGAGCCAAGAUUGCACCACUGCACUCCAGCCUGGGCAACAGACUGACACUCCAUCUCAAAAAAAAAAAAAAUUGUUUUUUUCUUAGUCUCAGUACCUUUAAAUUUGGCUGGGCUCAACCAAUAGAUAAGCUACUACUAAGCAAGCUAUAUAAGGAGCCUCAGCCCCAUCAGUUGUUGUAUCUAAUAUGUAAACGAAUGAGACCUAAGCCCUUCGUGUCGGCCAAAACACAUCAAACCUGACCCUGCUCUACCUACAUUGGAUUGCUUACUAACAAAUUUAGGGUCAGCCCUAUAGUUGUAUAGGUUUACUGGAAGACUUAGUUUCUUCCUUUUAAUCUCGACCCAGGUGGCUUGGUGUAGAGAAUAACUUAUUAGGAUACUGUAACCAGACACAGAUUUGGCUGCUCAUAGCUGAAAAGCCAGACAUGAGAGGCGAGGGUUGGUGGAAGGAAAAGCAGGUUUAACUGGAGAGCCAGCAAACCUGGAAGAUAGUGAACUAGCUGUCUCAAGUGCCAUCUUAAAUUUUAAAAUUUAUCAUAGAGUUUUUAAAGGGAAAUUUGGUAUAGGAGACAUGGGGGAGUGGUGCAGGAUGUGGGGUCUGUGUGUCUUUGUUCAGAUGGCUAGCUUGCGUAAUUCUCUCUGGAGGUCUGCUUGGUGUCAUCUUUACUGCAGCCCAGUGGUGGUGGACUAACUGUGACCCCUGCUGAGUGGGAGGAUGCUGCAGCUGGGACUCCGCACCUGGUUUGUUUCAAGAUUAGCCUCUGGAAUUUCUUAAGUAGGAACAUAAUUAGAUAAGCUUGCAUUGCUGGAGGGGAGUGUCUAGAGAGGGAAGGAAUGAAGGGGUAAGAGAGGAGGGAAGGGAGAAAAAGAGAAUGGGUGAUUAAAAAAUAUGUUUAAAACUGAGAUCCUGGGUUACAAUGCUUCUGUCUAGUUCCAUUGAGUUUUCCUUCCUCCCUACCCCCAUCUACUCCCUGGUUCUCAUAGUUACAGCCAUUCUUUCACUACAUGACCCUGCUUGGACACUUGUUGCUUGGACUAGGAGUAGGCACUUGACAAAAACAAAAUUUUGAUUUUUGAAAAGGUAAAUAAAAGUUCCUUCACUCUCAAUUUGAGAGUGAAAUAAAAUAAUCCAGUCUCAGUUUGCAAUCUCUCUUAAAUGGAGGAGAUGUAAAUUCUUGAGCUGCAGGGGUCCAUCUUCAACCAGACAGAAUGCUUACCAACAGCAUUUCCCUCCUCUACCUUGUAAUCCCAUUCAUUGAUAUCAGUGAAGAAAAGGAGGAAAAGGAUGAAAGACUGAAUGAAGUAUCACUGCGAGUGGAGGACUUGCAGAAAGGAGUGACAAAGAGUACUGCUGCCAGUGAUGAAGGGCCUGAUUCCAGCCCAUUCCAGAGUCUCGGCUGUACUCCUACUCCUUAUAGUAAGAAAUGCUCCCUCCUUUCUAUUGAAACUGCAUGUUGAGUAUCCCCAGUAUAAAAGUUUGAAAUCCAAAAUGCUACGCUGAGCAUUUCCUUAGAGUGUCAUGUUGGUGCUCAAAAAAUUUUGGAUUUUGGAGGAUUUGGGAUUUUCAAAUUAUGAAUACUCAAUCUGUAACUUGAUAGAGUUUCUGUUUCCCGCAGCCAAAUGAGUAUAAACCAAUACUCCAAGAUUCUUGCAUGCCUUCUGAUAAAAUUAUUUUAAAAAUAUCUUCAGAGCCAGUUUAUAGGCCAACCACAAAAUCAGUUUUACAACAUUAUAAUUACCUUUUAUGAGUUUGGUGACAUUUAAUACAGCAUAUAAUCAGUAAAUACUUACUUUGUGCAAUGCACAAUGCUUGUCAAUCAAAGGAAUCCAAAGAUUAGUAGAAGCUAACAGUUUUUGUGGGAGAGAAAACAAUUUACAAAAGUAGUGAUAGCUAAUAAGUUCCAUGACAAAAGUACAAGUAAAAAGAGUAGAGGACAGAGAAAAGAGUGAUUUAUUCAGAUUUUUAAAAAUUAUCAAAUGUUGAAAUACUAACAACAUGCUGAGGAGUAUAUUGUGAUCCAGUGAUAGAAUGCAGAAUGGAACAUAAUCUCUUACUUCAAGGAGCUUAAAUUUUAUCACAAGGGUAAACACAAGGGUGUUUGGCAGCCAAAGGAGCACUAACCAUGUGUUGGGGCUGGGGGCAGGUUUGAGAAGGCAUCCAGAAGAGACAAUAUCUAGGCAGAUAUGGAAAGAUAAAAGGUUAAAUAGAAUUAAAUGAAGGUGGGCUAGAAGAAAGAAAUAUCAAAUACAAAAGACUCUUGGGAGGCUGAGGCAGGAGAAUGGCGUGAACCCGGGAGGCGGAGCUUGCAGUGAGCCGAGAUCCCGCCACUGCACUCCAGCCUGGGCGACAGAGCGAGACUCCGUCACAAAAAAAAAAAAAAAAAAAAAAAAAAAGACUGAUGAAUUCUUUUUUCUGAGACUGAAUCUCGCUCUGUUGCCCAGGCUGGAGUGCAGUGGAACGAUCUUGGCUCACUGCAACCUCUGCUUCCUGGGUUCAAGCAAUUCCUCUGCCUCAGCCUCCCCGCUAGCUGGGACUACAGGCGCCCACCACCACACCUGGCUAAUUUUUGUAUUUUUAGUAGAGACGGGGUUUCACCAUAUUGGCCAGGCUGGUCUCAAACUCCUGACCUUGUGAUCUGCCCACCUUGGCCUCCCAAAGUGCUGGGAUUACAGGUGUGAGCCACCGCGCCUGGCCAAGAAUUCUUUUAGCAGCAUUAAAUGCCCAACUCUCAGAUUCCAUUACUCCCCACUUUCCUGUUUUUGCUCUUAUCUGUUGGGCUCCUUUUUAGUCUUCUUUGUCCUGGGUUCCCUCCUCUUUCCCCUCCCCUCUCCUCUCCUGCUUGGAGUGUUUUUAACUAAGCAGUACAAAUCUUGAGACCAGAGCUGUGGUCAGUGAGUCCUGUUAACCUUCUGAGAUCUGUGCCCUAUGGGUAGGCUGCUGGGAUCCCAUCCUCCAGAAAUUUCCAUGUCACCAGCAGGCUGAAUGUUUUUGUGGCAGUCAUACCUCUCCUGAGAGGCCUGACUCUCAGCCUUAGUGGGGAAAUGCCCCUUCUAAAUUUUUUAUUUUUUAUUUACUUAUUUUUUUAACUUAUUUUUUGAGACAGGGUCUCGCUCUGUUACCCAGUCUGGAGUGCAGUGGCACGAUCAUGGCUCACUGCAGCCUCGACCUCCUGGGUUCAAGCAGUCUUCCCAUCUGGCCUCCCAAAGUGCUGAGAAUACAAGAGUGAGCCACUGUGCCUGGACUGCCCCCUCUAAAUUUUAACAUUUUCUUCUUCGUGCACUCUGCAUUGGCUUUAGAGGUAGUGGCCACCAUCUGCAGUUGCUAUUUCUAUACCCCUUAGAGUCCUCUUUUAUCUCUUUUAGUAGUACACCAUAUUUACUACUUAAUAAUUAUUUAUAUUAAACUUUUCUGUUGAUAUAACCGGCAUGUUUUUAGUCUCCUUAUUCAUCCCUGGUUGAUAUAAUGAGGCAGAGAGGUGACUUGGGAAUGACUCCACAAAAAAGCACAAACCAGCUGGGUGUGGUGGCUCAUGCCUAUAAUCCCAGCCCUUUGGAGGCUGAGGUGGGAGGAUCACUUCAGAUCAGGAGUUCAAGACAAGCCUGGGACCUUGUCUCUGCCAAAAAUAAAAAACAAAAAUAGCCAGGUGUGGUGGUGCACACCUGUGGUCCUAGCUACUCAGGAGGCUGAGGUGGGAGGAUCUCUUGGGCCCAGGAAUUUGAGGCUGCAGUGAACUGUGAUCGUCCCACUGCACUCUAGCCUGGGUGACAGAGUGAGACCCUGUCUUAAAAAAGAAAAGCACAAACCAUAAUAUAAAAGAACUGAAUAAUUUGACUUUAUGAAAAUUAAAGACUUCUGUUCUUUAAGUGAUACUUUUCAGAAAAUGAUAAGGCAAGUCAGUCCAGUAGAAAAUAUUUGCAAUACAUAUAUCUGACAAAGGCUUGUGUACAGAAUACACAAAGUAUCUCAAAAAUAAGAAGACUGUUAAUUUGCUAGGGCUGUCAUAACAAAAUACCACAGACUGGGUGGCUUCAAUAACCCAGAUUUAUUUUCUUAUAGUUCUGGAGGUUAGAAGUUCCAGAUCAAGGUAUCGGCAGAUUUGGUUUCUUCUGAGGCCUCUCUCCUUGGCUUGCAGAUAGACUUCUAUCGGCUAGAAGACUUGUCUUCUCACGGUGGUGUCCUCACAUGGUCUUUCCUCUGUGCAUGCACAUGUCUGUGUGCUAAUCUCCUUAUAAAGACCAAUGAGAAACUUGCAGUUUGCAUGGUCCGAGUGUUCUCCCUAUUGCCAUAGUCCCUCUCCUCCUAUUGUAAUAAUCAUUUUGAAUCAAGUCUCUCCUUACCCAAAUCCACAUUUGUUUUUAUUUGCCAUUUCCGUCCUGCUUACCAUGUGUUUAGCUGUGGCAGCCUAGUGGGAAUUGAGCAAAUACAUAGCCAACUACAACCUAGGAAGGUAUGUAUUGUGCAGGGCCUGUUACAUCAUUUUCAUGUAAGAUGAAAAUGCUGAAUGCCUUAUUCAAAAGACAAAGGCAAAAGUGCCCCUGAAGUACUAAAAUAUGUUUUUGCUUUUCUUCUAUAGUCUCUCUCAACUUGUUACGGUGUCUCUUUUAAUUUAGUGUAAUUGUAAAUAAAUAAAAAUUAAAUUUUUUAUUAGCAUGAAUUUACUAUUCAUCAUUAUAUUGUGCAAUGUCAGUUAAAUAUAUGUAUGGCCAAGUGUGGUGGCUCAUGCCUGUAAUCUGUGCACUUUGGGAGGCUGAAGUGGGAGGAUUGCUUGAGCCCGGGAGUUCAAGACCAGCGGGGGCAACAGAAUGAGAGCCCCCUCUCUACAAAAAAAAAAAAAAAAAAAAAAAAAAAGCUAGCUGGGUCUCUACAAAAACAAAACAAAACAAAACAAAACAAAGCUAGCAUGUGGCACAUGCCUGUGGUUCCAGCUACUUGGGAGGCUGAGGUGGGAAGACCCUUUGAGCACAGGUAGUUGAAGCUAUAGUGAGCCAUGAUCACAUCACUGCACUCCAGCAUGGGCAGCAGAGCAAGACCCUGUCUCUAAAAAUUAAAUAAAUAAAUAAACAAACAAAUAAAUGCAAAUAUAAGAGCACUUAACUCAUAUGUGGAAUUACCAAAAUUACACAAUUCAUACCUCGUUCAUACAUGCAUAUGCAUUUUGUUCCCAAAAGAAGAGAGGAAAUGCUGCACAAAAUUAACUCUUUUUUUCACUUCUUGAUAGGUGCACAUUUUAUGAAUACUCUACUUUUAACUUACUGAAAAAGAAGGAAGGGUUGAAAGAAAAAGAACUAUGAGUUCUUCCAUAUUUCCCUCUCCUUCUAUGUCAUUUUUAGCAUAGGUGGUUGGCCAAUACUGGGAAGUAACAUGAAUAAGAAAGGAUAUGGUAAGCUUCCUUGAUUGUUCGUGUUUCUUACAAUGCCAUUGCCUUCCUUUUUCAUUCAAAGCAAAUUCUUGUUUGAAUGAAAAAUGUGGCUUUUGGGGCUGUCUGCCAACUCCACAGUCAUAGACCUAACAUGCUUAUGUUACACUCCCUUAGAGUUUCUCAGAAACUCCAUCUCCUCCACCAUCACCACCAUCCUCCUACAAGCUGCCAUCCUCUAUCACUUGGACUACAGAAAUAAUUUACUGAGUAGUCUAUCUGCAUCCUGUAAUCCAUUCUACACAAUGCAACCAGAGGGAUCUUCUCAGUGCCAAAUCUGAUCAUGUUAUCCUCAGCAAAAAAAAACCCUUUAAAGCUUUGAGAUCAAAGACAAAACUCCUAUAGACACCUGUACAUUUUUCUCCUACAUUUUCCCCCCUAGUUUCAGUUUGCAGCAGCCUCCAUAUCAGUGCUCUCCAUUCCUGAGUACUGGCCUCUCAGCACUUUGAUUAGCCCAUUUAUUUAGACUCUUUUCUAGAGAACCCUUCCCCACCUCCAUCCAGAGCCUUGUGGAGGAAAAGUUAAAUACUAAAUUUGAACUCAAUUGAACAUAGACACAAACAAUGGUCACCAAGUCCUGGAACAGGUUGUGUGAGCCCCUUGAGGCAUUCGUCCAGCACUGUUUUGGAGAAAUCUCUAUUUCAAUCUAUUCCUAUAUGUUAGUUGUUGAAAAACAACAGACAAUCGCAAAAACAAGUUGACCUUUUUGUGUUCCUUGAGUCCAGUCGUGAAGGGGCCUCGUGACUGGGCCUCAUGCCAAACAACUCAUUACAAAAGGAGCUAUGGUCCCAGACCACAACGAAGCUUCAUGAGACCUCUCCUCAUCUGUGCACGGACAAGUGUCUGACUCUGGAGCCCAGGCUGUUGCUUUCCAGUCUGGUGGUGAAUCCUUCACAGUCUGGUGAGUGUAAAUAUAUAUAUAUCUUUUCCUUUCUCCUCUCCCCAUUGCAAUUUGCUUAUUACAUCCAUUUGCUUAUUACAUCAUUUGCUUAUUAUAUCUGCAUUGCCAUUUACGUGGAAUAAAGGUUGUUUACCCUUAAAGGGAUUGUGUGUGUGUCUUUUCUUCAUUGCUCGUGUGUUUCCGGCACAGAACACCCCUUCUUCACAUAAUGAAAUUCCACUUAUCCUGUAGAUGAAAGUUCAAAAAUCCCUUCCUCAAGAAAGCCAUCCCUUACCUUGCUGACAAGGCCAACUAUUCUAAUUAUUUCUCAUAGAACCAUCUACCUCUCCUUGUAGCACUCAUCACAGUUGCACUUGUAUAUUUAUUUUUGUUGUUAUUUGAUUAUUAUCCAUCUUUUCUAAUGUGUACAUAGAAGAAAGAGAAGAAACCCCCUUCCUACAUAUAUAUUUUUUGUUUUCUUAACACUUGUUGUAGAUGGUGAUUGAUCAUUUAUACAGGAGAUUGCCUAAAUAAUGUAUCUUUCGGAACAGACCAUUUUUUAUUUGUUCAUUAUUAUUCUGCACCACCUUCCAUACCUAGAACUUUUCCUGAUACCUACUAGGAGCUUAACAAUUAAUCAUUGAAUGAAAUGAUAGCCAAGUUGAUUAGACUUUUCCUUCUCAAUUCUAAAGAAUUGCUGAUUUCAAUGAGUGCCUAAGUAGCACUGGAAAUAACAUGUCAGGAUGUCUGAACACUUCCUUUCUCCUUUGUCUUCUAGCUUUAUCUUAGUCUCUUUCAAAAUCUCAGUUGCAGGAUGGGUAUGCUUCUAGCACUUUGAGAUGGAGAGUUUCACGGAUUCCCAUGAUCUUGCUUUAGUGUGCUUAUCUGCUUAUCUCUCUUCAUGUCCACUCACCUAUGGGCCCUUUCCUUUUCUGUCUGUCACUUAUAUAGCUCAUGUUCAAAUCCCCUCUUCUCCUCUUCUUAGGCCAGUCUCAUAAUGUUUCCGACAUCUGGUAUGGUUUAAAGGAACUCUUGCCUGGAAAUAGAAGUUCUUUCCAGACCAUGAUAUAAAUUUCUAGUAAAAGCAAAUGAAUGAAUAUAUAGCAAGAAACAACAAUUCACAAGGAAGUUGCCCUGGAAGUGGGCUGUUGUAGUAAAAGGAGGCAUUUGCCUGUUACUGAGUCCCAAUAGCCUGAUCACUCUUGCCCAAUCAGGAACUUUCUGUCACAUUGUGCUGUUUGCCAUUGCAGUGCUCAGCAGACUGAGGAUUACAGUAUGUGCAUUGGCACUUGUUAUACAGCAAGUGCAAACAGCUGGGUUUCUUGCUGUUCAUGAGUGCCAAGAUAUUAUUCCUCAUAAGACUUUUUAACUGCUUUUGCAGUUAGUAACAUCAGUGCCUGGGAAAUCAAACAUUUUAUCUAGUGGUUUGUUAACUUAAUGCUAUUUUCCAGAUGUUUUUUAGGGCUGUUCCUCCAAUGUUGAUUUGUGGUGGCGUUGAUAUUUUCUUUCUAUAGCAUUUUAUUAUUUUUGAGCAGUGAUAUUUAAUUUAGUUUGGGGAAAUGUCUUUUCCAAACUUUUGUUUCUGAUGACACACAGUUAUUUUGAAUCUUGUGUCAAUCCCACAAACUACAGGACUUGGCCUGAUUAUAGACAUGACUAGACAAAAGAAGCUCUAGAAGAGCUGCCACACCAGACUUUCACUUUUAUUGAGGUUACCACUCACACUGAUAGAUUACAGGCCCAUGGCAUUUUAGAGUCAGAGACAUUCUUUACUCAGAUCCCCUCUUUAUUCACAACAAAAUAACUGGAACUUAUAGAUGUCAAAUAAUUUUACCUUAGCCCACACAGCUAGCUGUUAGUAAAAUCAGAACUAUGACCAGAUCUCCUAGGUACAGGGGAGAGGAAACCUUUUUUCCAUGCUUCUCACCUGGAGGCGUAUGUGUGAAUCCCCUUACCCCCUUUAGUGGCCUGAGGAUUCAUUCAUUGGCAAAGAAGUCUCCUGACAGCAUUUUGAAGAGGCAGAACAAACUCCUGCUGCCAGUCUACAGGAGCCAUCACUCUUUCCCAGUGAGCAGCUGGCAUGUGGCCAGCCUUCCCUUUCUGCAGCUUGGACUGCUAAAGUAUCACGUGGAUGGAGCAGCUCUGUGCAAAGCCACUUUUCCAGAACUGUUUCCAUGUCUCCACUCCCCAAUCCAUCCUUCUCCCCACAAGCUCUCUCCUACCACACAAACACACCAAGGGCCUCUUAAAGCUUUCUCCAUCCAUAGUGAGAGAGAGAGGGGGGAAAGAAUCAAGUUUGGUAUGCUGGAACAUACAUGUGAGGCAGAAAAGUUCUGAAAGUUGAGAGCAGCUUAUAAAUAACUCAGGUUAGAUGUUGCCGAUGAUGGGAAGUAUAUAUAGGAAACACCAUCAUUUAAAAAAUGUAUUCUUUGAAAAUGAAGAAUGACAGCAUACAGACCAAACUCCCAAAAGCUUAACAGAAAUUCUCAUAAAACUGUAGGUAGACUUACAUUAUAUUACACAAAUUUUAAACUCUGGAUCUGGGCCGAAAACAUCACCUGCUUUAGGUCUUCAAAUAGACACUUAAGAGCUAUGGAAUAGUACAAUUGACCGGGAAAACACUUUAAGAUUUGGUUGUAAUCUACAGACUGUCAGCUUAGGGGUAACUGGUAAAGUAAUUUGUGCUCUCCUUUUGUCCAUUUUAAUUGAUGAUAUUCCUCUGCAGCAAGCCUUACAGGAGAAAUCGAAACACAGCUGCUACAUUGUAAGUCCACAAGUGAAAUAAGCAGUGUCCAGUGGAUAACAAGAAGGCUCCCAGAAUAGCUCCUCAAAAAAUCUGCCUUCUUCCUUUACUACCAAGAAUCCUAACCUGUAGGCUCAAAGAUGAUUCAAACAUUGAGGGCAGUGGUACUUGGGAUUCAAAGGCACAUUGGUGCAGAAAGGAGCCCAUAGCAUGCUGUUGACAAUUUGACCAGGUGAGUCAACAAUAGCAAAGAAGGCCUAGAAUAUGAGCUUUGAAAUCCGAGUGCAAAGUCACCCCUACGAGAAUAUACCUGAUUUAUUUUGUUUGAUUAUAUUGACACUUUUGCUAUUUGUCAUCAUUUCAGCAUGCAUGCACUUAGAUUUGUUAGUCCCACUGUCCUGUAACAUCUCCCAAUCCAGAACACAUUAAUGAUCAGUAGACUGUGGCUGUCCAGUUUGGUGUCACCUUUAAGGGGCUCCUCUCUCCACGUAGGCCAGGCAAGACUUCACUGCACAUUUACAGAACAAGGACCUUCUGUCUCAGAUGCCUGACUCACCAGCUCCACUGCCCUGCAUUCCGUUCUCUCACUCUCUUGGCUUCCAGUGUUGUUGCCAGUGGUUUGGGUCCUCACCCUACUCUUUCACCUCAAUGCUUAAUAUAGCCAUGUUUGGCUUUUGAAUUUGCUUUUCCUCUCAUCUACAUUUUCAUCUCUCCACCGUGGCUUGAAGUAAUCACAAUUUUGGGAUAACAAAGCCAUUCUAUGCUUGGCUUUGGUCAGUCCCUAGAAUUUACCAAGUCACAGCCAGGUGAGGUGGCUCACGCCUAUAAUCCCAGCACUUUGGGAGGCCAAGGCGGGCGGAUCAUAAGGUCAGGAGUUCAAGACCAGCCUGGCCAACAUGUGAAACCCCGUCUCUACUAAAAAUACAAAAAUUAGCUGGGCGUGCCGCCUGUAAUCCUAGCUACUCGGGAGCCUGAGGGAGGAGAAUUGCUUGAACCCAGGAUGCGGAGUUUGCAGCGAGCUGAGAUCGCGCCACUGCACUCCAGCCUGAGCAACAGAGUGAGACUCCGUCCCAGAAAAAAAAAAAAAGGAUUUACCGAGUCACUUCCUGCCCUUUGUUAUGGACUCACCACCAAUCUGUCCCAGCAAGGCCCAAAUACUGUUUAAGGAGUGAUGGUAGUGAGUAGCCUUUUAAAAAGUUUAUUCAGGGAGGUUGAAAUAAAGAGGUUGGACAUGUAAAUGGGGAAUGAAACAAUGGGUAAACUCACCUGUUCAGAUUAUUCAG